GGCCUACCAUGGUGGUAACGGGUAACGGGGUGUUAGGGCACGACACCGGAGAGGGAGCCUGAGAAACGGCUACCACAUCCAAGGAAGGCAGCAGGCGCGCAAAUUACCCAAUCCCGACACGGGGAGGUAGUGACAAUAAAUAACAAUACAGGGUUCUUUUGGAUCUUGUAAUUGGAAUGAGUACAAUUUAAAUCUCUUAACGAGGAACAAUUGGAGGGCAAGUCUGGUGCCAGCAGCCGCGGUAAUUCCAGCUCCAAUAGCGUAUAUUAAAGUUGUUGCAGUUAAAAAGCUCGUAGUUGAAUUUCGGAAUCAAUAUAUCGGUCGUGCCUUGGUACGUACUGGUAUCAUUGAUUUCUCCCUUCUGACGAACCAUGAUGUCAUUAAUUUGGUGUUAUGGGGAGUUAGGACUGUUACUUUGAAAAAAUUAGAGUGUUUAAAGCAAGCAUUAGCUUGAAUACAUUAGCAUGGAAUAAUGAAAUAGGACGUUUGACCCUAUUUUGUUGGUUUCUAGGAUCGACGUAAUGAUUAAUAGGGAUAGUUGGGGGCAUUAGUAUUCAAUUGUCAGAGGUGAAAUUCUUGGAUUUAUUGAAGACUAACUACUGCGAAAGCAUUUGCCAAGGAUGUUUUCAUUAAUCAAGAACGAAAGUUAGGGGAUCGAAGACGAUCAGAUACCGUCGUAGUCUUAACCAUAAACUAUGCCGACUAGGGAUCGGAUGAUGUUAAUUUUAUAAUGACUCAUUCGGCGCCUUACG
rnacentral:rRNA from 1 species